rnacentral:tRNA from 1 species
GCUCGGGUGGUGGAAUGGCAGACACGACGGUCUUAGAAGCCGUUGCCGGAAGGCGUGCAGGUUCAAGUCCUGUCCCGAGCACCA